GAUGAAUGCUGGCGGCGUGCCUAAUACAUGCAAGUCGAGCGAACAGACGAGGAGCUUGCUCCUCUGACGUUAGCGGCGGACGGGUGAGUAACACGUGGAUAACCUACCUAUAAGACUGGGAUAACUUCGGGAAACCGGAGCUAAUACCGGAUAAUAUAUUGAACCGCAUGGUUCAAUAGUGAAAGACGGUUUUGCUGUCACUUAUAGAUGGAUCCGCGCCGCAUUAGCUAGUUGGUAAGGUAACGGCUUACCAAGGCAACGAUGCGUAGCCGACCUGAGAGGGUGGUCGGCCACACUGGAACUGAGACACGGUCCAGACUCCUACGGGAGGCAGCAGUAGGGAAUCUUCCGCAAAGGGCGAAAGCCUGACGGAGCAACGCCGCGUGAGUGAUGAAGGUCUUCGGAUCGUAAAACUCUGUUAUUAGGGAAGAACAAAUGUGUAAGUAACUAUGCACGUCUUGACGGUACCUAAUCAGAAAGCCACGGCUAACUACGUG
rnacentral:rRNA from 1 species